rnacentral:rRNA from 1 species
GGAGGAAAGUAGGGGAUCGAAAGACCUUAUGCUUUUGGAGCGGCCGAUGUCUGAUUAGCUAGUUGGUAAGGUAAUGGCUUACCAAGGCAACGAUCAGUAGUUGGUCUGAGAGGACGACCAGCCACACUGGGACUGAGACACGGCCCAGACUCCUACGGGAGGCAGCAGUGGGGAAUUUUGGACAAUGGGCGCAAGCCUGAUCCAGCAAUGCCGCGUGAGUGAAGAAGGCCUUCGGGUUGUAAAGCUCUUUCAGUUGAGAAGAAAAGAUUGUAACUAAUAAUUGCAAUCCAUGACGGUAUCGACAGAAGAAGCACCGGCUAACUACGUGCCAGCAGCCGCGGUAAUACGUAGGGUGCGAGCGUUAAUCGGAAUUACUGGGCGUAAAGGGUGCGCAGGCGGUUUUGUAAGUCAGAUGUGAAAUCCCCGGGCUUAACCUGGGAACUGCGUUUGAAACUACAAAGCUAG